GCGGACGUAACUCAGUUGGUAGAGUUCCUGCCUUCCAAGCAGGUUGUCGCGGGUUCGAAUCCCGUCGUCCGCU
rnacentral:tRNA from 1 species